rnacentral:lncRNA from 10 species
GAUUUUAUAACCUGACAGCGUGCUGGAACUUCUCUGCUGGACUCCUGGACUCCCACAAUGAGGUUGUGGGGCUAGACAAGAAGGAAAAAAAUCACUGUCCUCAUGGAAGUUAAAUUGUACUGACAAAGGAGGAAAAUGUCAGGGAGUUAACAAUUCAGUCUCUGUGGCUUCCUCCUGUCCUCUCCCUGAAACUGAGAUCCAGCCAAUCUGCACAUUUAUUCUGAGAGUGGCCCCACUUUAAUGACUACACCCAGCUGUCUACACACCAGGAGGGGAGGGAACUGUAUCCUGAGGCACCAACCCGAUUACCCACCCAACAGCCACAGGGACUUCCAGUGACUGGGGCAUCAUCCUCAAUGCCACCAACCCCUCUCCUUCCUGUGGCUUUUCUAACUGGAACUGGAACUCAGAAAGUACAUUAAUCACCAAUUUGGGAAGCUAUAGGAAAGUAUGUUUUCUAAUAUACAGUGAGAGAAUGUGACUGAUAAAACCAAUUUUCUUGAGACUUUCUCCCUGGAAAGUGAAUAUAUGUAUUCAUAGGGCCUUCACAAGCACAGACUAACAAGCAAAGAGCUACAUUCACUGGGAAGGAAGACUCAAAAUUUAAAAAUAGAAAAAAAAAUGAUGGCCCAGAAGAGCAAGUUCAGAGUGCUGUUCAUGAGUGAUCCG